rnacentral:tRNA from 1 species
GUCAACAUACCCAAGUGGUUACGGGGCUUGACUUGAAAUCAAGUGCGAUCUCGCGCGUAGGUUCGAACCCUGCUGUUGACG